rnacentral:lncRNA from 1 species
AUCAGAGGAAGCACAAAGCACCACCAUCGCCAUGAGAUGAGAGCCAAGCAGAGUAGUAGAGAGAGAAGAACAGGGGUUAGCCGCGUCGUCGUGCGAACUCUGGUCGUGCAUGCAGAAGAUGUCCAUGGCCUUUUCGUGAGCAAACAGAGACGAGAGGGCCGAAGAUUCCUUGCCGGUCACUGACCUCAGCCAAGCUCGUAGCCAUAAGCCGCUAUGACCAGCUCAUCGAAAUUCGAGUUCCCUCCCGAACUCUAGCGAUAACUUCGACAACGAGGUUACAAGUCACCUAAAGAGCAAGUUGGUACCUGGAAUCUCAAGUCCCAGGCAAGUUGUGCCCUUGAUCACUUCUUUUUAUCCAAUCAUGCUCUUAUUAAUCAUAAUGAUCUGCAUAGGUUAAUUUUGAUGGGACCCAAUAGGUUACCCUAGUUUGACUAUCUUUAUACCUUGUUUACCACUGAAUUUUUUGGUAGUACCUGCUAUUGCUAUAUGUGGUUUUGGGUAUAGAGGUACACAUUAUUCAUGAUCCUACUUACAUUAUCAAUUUGAUAUUUACUAUGCAUGAUAAGAUCAUUAUGUUAAUUGGAACAUGGAGAACCACCCGGGAAAACAGUGCUACCACGAGGGUGGUAUGGGACGCCCUUGGCUGACUAAUUAUGAAAGCUAGUGGAAGACUACCUUACCCAAAAGGGACAAGGGCAGUAGGGGAGUGGUCAGUAUAGGGAGUUCAUUGGGUUGAUUUUGCUGCGA